rnacentral:lncRNA from 1 species
GGCCGGAGCGGGGCGCCCGCAGGGCUCGGGGCCGCUGCGCUCUGGGUUUCUGGAUCCCGGAGCUGGGCCCCGACCCCCUAGAGGCACUGAGGCCGCCGAGGUGAUUUCCAGGGCUGAGCGGUGCAGCUGUAUUUUGCUAAAAGGUGGUUUGUUGUUUCAUUAAAAAAAAAAAAAAAAUUGUGAAAAAAGACACCUUUCCCGUUUUCUCACCUUUGCUUUAUUUGUAUCCAUCUUUUUCGCUUUGACUGUCUCAUUAGGAAGUGGGUGCUGCCCGUGGUGAAAUUAAACUACCACCGGGGCCUUGUCCAAGGCGGGGGGUGCUUACUCAAUCCGCGCUGACCCGUGGUCAGGGCUUGGAGCCGAGCUGUAGGGAGGGCGGGGUCCCCGCGCAGAGGUGAGGCGCGAGCUGCAGCCUGGCAGGGUUUCCAGCCUGGCAGGCUGUGUGCUCUGUAAUGCUUUGCCGAAUUGCAUUAGGCAGAAGGGGUAGGGAACUGCAUAUUUUGUUCACCAGAUUUGAGGGUGUUUGCUAUGUGCCAGCCUGCCUGGCAUUGGGAGCUAUUUAUGAUUUUCUUUCUUUUCUUUUCUUUUUUUUUUUUUUUUAAGUACUUCUUGUUUUGGCUCAGCAGUUAAGAAUUGAGGACUUCUGGUGAACAUAUAGUAUGCAAGAUGUAUGCAAAGCAGUAUUUGUGGUCCGUAGGUCAGGUACUCUCCAAACACUUAAAGAUUGUCCUGUAUGAAUUCUAUUAACAGGUCAAUGCAGAAUGGAUCAAAGCAGAAAAUAAGCCUGUCUGGCCAAAGCAAGACUCGACUGAAAGCAGUAACAAACCUAAAGCAGGAAUGUCUCAAUCNAAAAAAAAAAAAAAAAAAAAAAAAAAAAAAAAAAAGCCUGGGAAGUAAAUAUCUGGCAGGAUCCCUGUUUAAAGGGGAAAGUCUUCCGAGCAGGGCCAUCCGAAGGGCGAGAUGAACAGGAAAAGGGAAUUGAAUACAGUGAAAUUCUAUUCUUCUAUUAAGAGACUGGAGUCCCCUUUAUUCCUUCAUGUGUGCUAGGUGUAAGGAGUUGGUGUGUCAGCUGACAACCGUUCAUGGAAACCUCACCAAGAAAUGUCUGAUUUUCUAUAGAAUUUAAAGCCCCAGACUGAUCUAUUUUAGUUUCCAGGCAGGUGCUAAUUCUUAUGGCUACAGCAGGCAUCUCUCACUCUUUCAUGUGGCGUUUGGCUAAUAAUAGCUACCAUUUAUUGGCAGCUGCUAUGUUCUGAGAACAAGUUCAGCACUUUCUCUAAUUUGUUUCAUUUAAUCCUAACAGCAACACUGAAACUUGUUCUCCUCAUAUUAUAAAAGAAACUGAGGGCAGAUUUGGGCAGAUUAAAUAAUUUACUUGGGGUUAGAUAUCACCUACACUGCACAGCCAGCCCGGAGACCCAGGUUUUUUAGCUCCAAACCUGUACCCUGAAGGCAUUACAGAAUAGUGAUUAUGACUGUGGGCUCUAAGCCCUCCUGACUGGGCUCAAAUGCCCACCGUGUCAGCCUGGGCAACUUGUGGAACCUUUCUGUGCCUUGGUUUCCUCAUCUGAAAAUGGAGUUCUUAACCCAGUUAACAAAUAGGCGAAAGAUCUGGACGGAUGGCAAAUAAGCGUAUAAAACGAUGCUCAACGACAUACAUCAUUAAGAAAUUGCAAGUGAAAACAACAAUGACAUACCACCACGCCCCUAUUGGAAUAGCUAAAAUCCAAAACAUCGAUAACCCCAAAUACUGGGGAGGAUGUGGAGCGCCAGGAACUCUCAUUUAUUGCUUAUGGAAACGCGAAAGGGUACAGCCACUUUGGAAGACAGUUUGGUGAUUUCUUAUAAAGGUACACAUUCUUAGCAUAUGGUCUAGCAACCGUACUCUUCAACGUGGACUCGAAUAAGUGGAAAACUUAUGUCCACACAAAAACUUGUGCAUGAGUGUUUAGGGCAGCUUUAUU